UUGAAGUGUUUUGAAGUUUUAAGGCGAAAGGUUCUCGAAAAUCUACAGAAAUCAGAAGUUGCUGGAAGGUUUUAAGAAGAAAGGUUCGAAGUUUGAUAAUCACUGCAAGAUUUUGAUGUUUUCGAAGUUUUGAAGUUGUUCAAAGGCUUGUAAGGUGCCACUCAUGUUAACUCUCUAUUUAUUUUUCAUAUUUUGUCGAUUCUGAAUCUCACUAUUGUUUUUGAGCUAUCUCUUUCUCUAGGUUUAUUGAAGAUUUUUUUUGAAAUUCUAGAUCUGUAGAUGUUGUUAAGUAACUGCAUGUUCAUAUUGAUGUCGAAAAAUGUACAAAAAUUGUUGUUUUAAAAGAAAAUUGUAGUUCUAAGUGUGUUGUUAUUAUUUCAAUAGAACUCAAUUUCUGUAUAUAUAUAUAUAUAUAUAUAUGUUAAUUUGUUUGAAACCUUCUAAAAAGUUUCAAGAGUUUGUAAUCUUUUCCCAGACAUAAAAGCUUGUUGGUGAUUUGGUUUACUGAAGCUCUUGAAGUGUUAUUAUUUCAGCUGAACUAUAAUAUUUUCCUUAAUUGGAGUUCUUGUUGGUUAAUAAAUGGCUAUACCAUAAAGAAAACCAUCGUACAUCCUCGUGUUUGGACAACUCAGUAUGUUGAGCUCUUGAUCUUACUAGAUUAGAUUAACUAAAGUGAAAUAUAGAUACAAAUGACAUAAGAGUAUGAGUCCAUGGCCGGCUAAAUCUACUUGUAUGUAACUUUAGUAAAUUGCCUUGAAAUGAAGUUCUAAUGGUUUUGUUAGUUCUGGAAUGUUGAGUUUUGUCUAAAAUUACCUUUGUUUGGGUCUCAAGGCUUUCAAAUUCAUUUCAAGAUAUCUUCUUACUUAUAGUUAAAAUGGAGCCUUGGGUGUGAGACCUACUUUUGUCGAGACGACCUCCCCUGAAAGUUUUGUAAGUUACAUUAAGUCCAGAAUUUUGUUUCUAAUUGGGUAACAUAUUUGGUUUACGUUGGUGGGACCCCAAAUUAUUUUCGAAGGUCCGAUUAAAACUUGGGAUUUGAAUCAUAAUGAGCUGGUGCAACACCUGCUGGUCCAGCUGCUCUUGCGGAACCAAGGCUCGAUCCUACAAAGAAGUGGUUGCACAUGCGAAGGUGACCAGGUCACCAAGCCUCGACCCUGUGAAGCCGUGGUCGCAACUACAACCUCGCCUAUGGAUCCAAAGUCUGUAAUACUAGAUUGUAUAUGUGUAAAACAAAUUGCUAGGGCCAAGGGGCUUCUCUGUUUCAGAAUUGAGGGGAAUUUAUCUUCUCUUACAAGAGAGUAUUAGGUAAUUUUUUUUGUUAUUAAUGUGAGUGUUCUAUUUUGUUUGUACAUUUGUUGUAUGGCUUCUAAAAUUCAUUGUAAAUCUAUAAUACAGCUUACUUAAAAUAUCAUGCAGGCGUUUGGACAAUAUUUGGUUGAAAUCUAAGAGUAGUUUGCGGUGAACAUGUUGAUUAUGAUAUAGCUGCAGUAAAAAAGAAGUAUUAUGAAUGUGUCUGAUUUUCCUGAAAUUCGUCAAACAAAAUGUUGAAGUUGACGCUAUUCAAAUUCAAAACUCUAAAAUCAUGGGUGAAUUCAGAACCUAUUCCUAGACUAGCAUGUGAUGAUGAAAAAGAACAUGUUCCUUGCAACAAAUGGAAAUACUUUUUUGCAUAUGAUAUUUGUUUGCAUUCACCGAACACAUAGAUUCAUGACACAUAAUUGUACUCUUUGCUAAAUUAAACCUAUCCUUUUGCAAUCUUAAGUUACCAGAUAAACAGAUGCAUAAGAUUGAACAUCAGGAGUACUAUUCGUAACCUUUUUAUCCUCACAUUGGUGACCAUGAAUUUUUAGUAGUGUUAUUUAUUGCUCCAAGUGAAAAAACAUCCAUGUGCCUUCAGAAGAGUGAGUUGUAACUGGUUUAGCAUUUCCUUGAACCCCUGCACCUCUACAACUGUUACAGGUUGACCAAUCCUUUCAUUGACAUACAUGACAUUUUUAAAGUCUCUACUAAGAAUUCAUGGUACUUGUAUAGAAGCACCUAUAGUCUGUAAAGUUUGUCAUGAGCUCUCUUUGACUUUGCUCAUUCUUUGCAUACACACUAGUGACAAUAGCUGAGAAGUUAUUACCUCGCCUACAGAGUCAGUCAACACAUUUAUCCUCGCAUUGGUGACCCAUUUUCUACUUUGCCAUAGCGACAAUAACAACAAUCAAGUCACUAGUGUGUUCUUCUUUAUUUCAUUUUUUUAUUGUGGAAGUUGGAGAGAGAUUUCCUUGGCGAUUUCUUGUGGAAUUCUAUACAUUUAGUGGAGAGUAGCUUGGGGACAUCAUAAAUGAUGUUUUUCACUCUCCUAAAUCCACUAGACCUCGUUUAGAUUCAAAUUCUUGAUAUUUAUGUUGUAUUGUUACUUUUAACUACUUAUUUUCUUUUAAUAUCCUCACAACUUAUGUUCCUUUUUUGUUUUGCUGGAUUUUUCAGGUCAUUUUCCAAUCAAUCUUGGCCGGAUUGUGGUCUACAUCUUUCUAGCAAACUUUGAUAUUUGUGUGUUCUUUGAUUUUCAACAUUAGGUACGCCAUAGCAAGAUCACUACUCAUUUAAUUUUCAAUUCUAGUCAUAGCCUCAUUAUUGAUAUUUUUUACUUUAUUUAUCCAGAUUUCUCUGCCACGCAUGAUCUCACAAUUUUCUUUUCUAGUUGUUUGUUUCCUUUACGCUAAAUAAUGACAUAUCACCAUUACUGGAAAUAUAAUUCUUGUACACAAUUCAUGAUUUUUUAUAGAUAUAUUUCACUGAAAAUAAGCUUUUUUUUAAACAUAAAUUGGUACUUUGAAUUGUUGUUUAUUCUUUUGGAUCUUCAUUUUUGGGCAGUAAGAGUCGAACAGAUUCCCAGAUGGGUCCUCAAUUGAAUUAAUUAAUUAAUUGUUUUUUUNNNNNNNNNNNNNNNNNNNNNNNNNNNNNNNNNNNNNNNNNNNNNNNNNNNNNNNNNNNNNNNNNNNNNNNNNNNNNNNNNNNNNNNNNNNNNNNNNNNNNNNNNNNNNNNNNNNNNNNNNNNNNNNNNNNNNNNNNNNNNNNNNNNNNNNNNNNNNNNNNNNNNNNNNNNNNNNNNNNNNNNNNNNNNNNNNNNNNNNNNNNNNNNNNNNNNNNNNNNNNNNNNNNNNNNNNNNNNNNNNNNNNNNNNNNNNNNNNNNNNNNNNNNNNNNNNNNNNNNNNNNNNNNNNNNNNNNNNNNNNNNNNNNNNNNNNNNNNNNNNNNNNNNNNNNNNNNNNNNAGAUGAUGAAAAUACUAGAAUGAUUCACGAUGCUUGUGGAUAUACAAAUGUGGAGAAUAAUACGAAUUCUUCAGAGGGUAAUGAAGAGCCAAAUAUCCAUGCAACAAAGUUCUACAAACUGUUAAAAGAUGCUCAGAGAGAACUUUAUCCUAGUUGCACAAAAGUCUCAAAGUUGACUUUAUUGUUAAAUUACUUCACUUGAAGUGUCUUAAUCAUUGGAGAAACAAAUUGAUGGAUGAGUUAUUAAUCCACUUUAAAGAAGUUCUUCCCGAUGGGUCAUUUGUGCCUACCUCUUUCUAUGAAGUAAAUAAAGUUCUUCGUGCCCUAGGCUUGGGGUAUACCAAAAUAGAUGCAUGUAAGAAUGAUGGUAUUUUAUAUUGGCGCGAUUAUGCCAAUGCCCAAUCAUGUCCCAAGUGUGGUAAGUCUAGAUGGAAGUCACAGAAACACAAAGGCAAGAAAGUAGCUCAUAAGGUAUUGCGACAUUUUCCUAUCAAACCAAGGCUUCAAUGACUAUACAUGGCAAAAGAGACAUCAAAGAAAAUGAGGUGGCACAAGGAAAAAAAUAUUGAUGAUGGUGUCAUGUGACAUCCGUCUAACUCAAUAGAAUGAAAAUCUUUCAAUGAGCGUCAUCCUACUUUUUCAGAUGAAUUAAGAAAUGUCCAACUAGGUUUAGCAAGCGACGGAUUCCAACAUUAUGGAGAUAUGAGUACCAAUCAUAGCAUUUGGCCUGUCAUUCUAGUUACAUAUAAUUUGCCACCAUGGGAUUGCAUGAAGAGUUCAUAUUUCAUGAUCACACUUCUUAUUCCAGGCCCUAAGUCUCCUGGUAAUGAUAUUGAUGUAUACUUACAACCAAUGAUUGAAGAGUUGAAAGAAUUAUGGGAUGGGGUGAAGACUUAUGAUGCACAGUCAAAAUCUAAUUUUCUUAUGUUUGUGGCUCUCAUGUGGAUGAUUAAUGACUUUCCUACAUAUGGGGACCUUUCUGGAUGGUCAACCAAAGGAAAGCUUGCAUGCCCUUGUUGCCAUAAAGACACAUAAUCGAUUUCCUUACGUAACAAGUUGUGUUAUAUGGGGCAUCGUCGCUUCCUUCCCUCAAAUCAUCCAUGGCAUAGAAAUAGCGUGUUAUUUGAUGGGAAAGUGGAAAUAGUUGUCGCACGUGGCCCUUCAACAGGUGAUGAAGCACUUAUACAGUUACAAAAUUUGGGCAAUGUGAGAUUUGGUAAAGGACAAAAGAGAAAUCGUAAUGUUUCUGCCAAUGCUUAUAACUGGAGGAAGAAAAGUAUCUUUUUUCAUUUGCCUUACUAGAAGAGUCUUAGGUUAAGACAUAACCUAGAUAUGAUGCACAUAGAAAGAUAUGUGUCUAACAACAUUUUAUCAACUGUGAUGAGUAUUGUUGGAAAGACAAAAGACACAUUGAAAAGUAGAUAUGAUUUGGUGGACCUUGGUAUUAGGCAAGUGUUGCAUCCAAUUGAGGAUGGAGAUAAAAUUUUGUUACCGGUAGCAUGCUAUGCAUUGUCCCAUGAUGAGAAGUUCAAGCUAUGUAAUUUCUUAGCUAAUUUGAAGGUUCCGGAUGCUUUUUCAUCAAAUAUUUCAAGGUGUGUUAAUGUACUUGAGAAAAAGAUACAUGGAUUGAAGUCUCAUGAUCAUCAUGUAUUAUUGCAAGACAUUUUACCAGUUGCUAUACGUGGUUAACUGCUUAAGGAAGUGUGUGAACCAAUUAUUACCUUAGGCAAAUUUUUCAAGAAUCUAUACUCUAAGUGCUUGACAAUUGAAGAUCUUGAUAUCCUUGACGCUGAAAUUCCAAUCAUAUUGUGUAAACUUGAAAUGGUUUUCCUCCGGCAUUUUUGAUGUCAUGAUUCAUUUGCCGAUACACUUGGCCAGAGAGGCAAAACUUGGUGGACCAGUUCAAUAUCGGGAUAUGUACUCUAUUGAGAGGUAACAUAUCAUUUUGUAAUUUCGAUGAGAAUAUGUUUUAAAUAUCAUAUUUUAUAAAUUGGAAAUCUAUUUAUAGGUAUUUUGCGAACACUUAAAUCAUAUAUUCGCAAUCCUGGUCAUCCAAAAGGUGCAAUUGCUGAAGGUCAUGACGCAAAUGAAGGCAUUACAUUUUUCUCACACUAUUUUAAGAGUAUCUCAACUAAGUUCAAUAAACCAACAAGAAAUGAUGAUGGAUUUGAAUCAAACGGUGAGAUGUCUAUCUUUAAAAAAAGUGGGCAAACAAAGGGGUCUUUUGAUGGAAAGAAACUACCCCAUGAUGAAUUCAACCAAACAGUUUUGUAUAUUCUUCAAAAUUGUGAAGAGGUUUCACCUUUCAUAGAGUAAGGUUCUUAUUAAUUUAGAUUUAAUUUCACAUAAAGAUAUUUUAAUUAACCUUAACUAACACAAAAUGUAGGGAAUACAUGAGAGAGAUUGAAAUACAAGGUUCAACGAGACCUCAUGGAAUGCUGAAUAAUGAUUUUAUUAAUUGGUUUCGUGCACGUGUAAGAAUUUAUGAAAAACACUUAAUUAACUAUUACUGUUGACAUCUAAGUAUGAACAAGUCUUAUUUUUUGUAGAUAUUUGUACUAGUUCACAAGGACGCACAACUGAUGAGCUCAUAAGCUUAGUUGUAGGUCCAGAACCAUUGGUGCAUCGAUAUUCAAUAUUUAUGGUGAAGGGAUUUAGGUUACAAACAAAAGAGCUUGUGAGAAAAACACAGAACAGUGGAGUUCUUGUGAGAGGAGAUGAUUCAGACUCUAAUAAGGAGUAUUAUGGUGUAUUAGAGGACAUUUACGAGUUACGCUACGUUGGAAAUAGAAAAGUUCAUCUAUUCAAGUGUCACUGGUGGGAUGUGGCUCGCCUAGGAAGAGGAUGUAAGAUUGACAAAUAUGGUUUUACAAGUGUGAAUAUUCAUUGUGCCUUAAAUACAAAUGAGCCAUUUGUGUUGGCAUCUCAGUCUGAACAAGUCUUCUAUUUGAAAGACAUAGUUGACAAAGAUUGGCUCGUUGUUGUAAAGACAAAUCCUCGAGAUCUUUUUAAUAUGCCUGAAGUUGAAGAAGCAGUAAUGAAUGAAGAAGGUUAUCAACAAGAGGAAGUGGAAUGUAAUAUUUUGUGUCCCAAUGACCAUGAACCUGAUAUUCAUGUGUCUUUAUACAGGGAUGAUGUUGAACCACAAACUGUUUUGCGUAACAAUGAUCAAGAAAAUGAGGAAGAUAAUUUCAUUAAUGACAAUCAUACAGAUGUACCUGGGAGUGAAGAAACCGAAGAACAGUUACUAGAUGAUGAUGAUGGAGAAGACAGUGAUGAAUACUUUUGAUGAUUGAGAAACAAAGACUACUGAAAUAGAUGUUUAACACUUGUUUUGAUAAGUUCUCUAUAUUUUGUUCUUAUUGGGCUAACAUGAAAUUAAUUCAUGACAUUUGUAGCUUUAACUUUGUAAAUAGAAUCAGCAUUUUAAGUAAAAUCAAUGCUUUACAUUUCCAUCAAUGAAACAAUAGUACUUGUUAGUAAAGUGUCCCACAUUUUUUACUUGUUUAAUAUAAUACUCUGCUUUAUGAAUCGAUAUUUUCCUUGGCAGGUAGAUAUAAUAAGCUUUAAUUUCUGAUUCUGAUACUUCUCUUUUUAUAUCUAAUGUUCCAGGAAAUGAAAGGAACUGGUCGAGGUAACGGUAAUAGUGGAAGAGAUGGUGCAAGAGGUGGACGUGGAAAUUUUCGAGAACGUGAAUGUUUUGGUACUACAUCUCAGCUACCAAUACAACAAAUAAGAGUUGCUGAAGUAUCAUUGGAGAAAGGACAGAGACCUGACCCCAAGUCAAGGACGUCUACAGGCGGAACAAAUAUACAAGUGAUCCUCUCCAAAGAACAUCUCCAGGGACACAAUCAUCAAGAAAUCUAGAAGAAAGUAUAUGUCCCUCCCUAGAGGUUGAAAUUGUUGCAGGUUAGUUCACGUACCUCCCUAGUAGAUAGACUCAAUUGCUUAGUAUCAAGCAACUUCAGCACAUGAUGAGUGCAGUUGGUUCAACACAGUUGACUGCAUGAUGUUGAUUUUGGUUCUCAUGUGAUACUUAUUCUUUUUGCAAGUAUAUUAGGUGUAGUAAUACGAGUGUAUAUCAAUUUUGACCGGGAAUGUAGAGCUAGUUAUUGCUUCAUUCUUGUUUACGAGUGUAGCCAUGUUACAACAUGAAUCUCUAGCAGAAAAUAGAGUUUGUUAAAUGUUCUUAUCUAUAUAAUGAUUGAGUGUUGUUUGUUGUGUUAACUUUAUAACAAAAUUUCAAAAGACUCAAAACCCUUUAUGACAACAAUUUGGGGUCAUUGGUUUAUACUGGUGAAGUAACUAUGAAAACUAGUAUACAUUAUGAAGCAGUAGAAUGAAUAUUCAGUGAUACAUUUCUUUUACUAAUAAUUUAUUCGUUGCAGUUUCUCGCAUCAAUAGAAAGAGAGGAAGAGGG
rnacentral:lncRNA from 1 species